CAGUUCCUGUUGGCCCAAUCUGCCAUUAUGGCUUAUGAUGGAGGAUGUGAUGGAGGAUGGAGUCCUGAAUCUGGUCAUGACUGCGAAUGGCUGUGUGACCUUAGGCAAAUCACUGCACCUACCUGAACUUCCAUUUUCUUCCCUGUAAGAUCCCUGAAGAGACCUUUUGCUGUAUUCUCUGUACCCUGACUCUCCCUUUUUUUUUUCCUUUGAAGACCUGCGUGACCUCUCAACUCACUAAGAUGUGUUGUCUCAUCUUUUUGGACAGGUGCUUUCCCACAACGUGGCCUGCUUGAAAUCCUCUUCAAAUUACAGUCAUAAUAUGUGGGUGAUAUUCUGCUAUGCACCCCAUUAGAAAAAUUUUCUAGUCAGGGCAACUGGCCCCUGCUAAAAUUUUUGGCAGGUAGAGAAGGUAUAAAGUCUCCAGGUCUAAGGCACAACUUUGCAGUUCUGAAGUCAAAUAUUUGGACCUUAUCAUAUCCAAAGGAACUGGAAGACUAAGGGGAAAAAAAUUAAACCCAUACUCUCCUUCCCACUGCCCAAGACCCUAAAAAGAGCUAACAGGCCUUGGGUAGCACAAUAUGGCAAGAUAACAUGACCUCUUUAUCAACUAAAAGGAAACCCAGGGCUGGAGAUUUUAGCUCAGUGAUUCUGAUGCCUGCCUUGCAAGCGCAAGGUCCCGAGUUCGAUCCUCAGUACCAAAAAAAAAAAGGGCAACAGGAUAUGCUACAGUAACUCUGUGAGAGACACUUGGGAGCUGCUCACUCAGCCCUGGAACAAAUGCUCAGUUAGCAGAACUUACAGCCCUGACAGUGUAAAAAUAUGAAAAGAAAGGAACUCUUUAACAGCCUGUGGGUCUCCCCUAAAAUUCCAUAGAAGAGAAACUCCUGAUGUGUUUACUUGCCUUCAAAAGUGGCAGUAACACAUUGCAGAGGCACCAGAAGGGUAUGGAUGAGGUGGCACAGGGUACAUCCAGCUACAGAAAAUGCUGCUCCAGCCCCUAGGAUCUGGAAGUGUCCUUAUCCCAGACUCGGCCCAAGGACUCUCAACCAGAUGAGAAACACACGCCAAGCAUUGGGACUCAGUCCUUUCAAAAUGCUUUACAGGUGACCAUUUUAAACUAAUGAGUUUUUUAUUGAUUUAAAAAAGAAAACAUGAUUGGACUAAAGACAUCGGCUCACUUGGAAAAUUUCAACAAAUUCUGCAGCAAUGAAUGGAAGCUUAACCCAGAGAGCUCGCACAUCUGGUAUUGUACCUCGGAGACGUGGUGCUGGUAAAAUCUUCCUCAUCUGCUUCCUUAUGGCCAACUUGGGAAGGACUGUAUACACGGGUGACUCUCAAAUCACAACUGCCUUUGCUGUGGAGGUAGCUGGCUUGGAUUCCUGGGUACACCAUUACCAACUCAAGCCUUGGGAGCUGGGGACAUUUCUACCUGUGACCCACUGCCUGAAUAUUCUUGUGAGCUGGUAGAAGAUUUAAAUCUCUUGUUCAGAAAAAAAACUACAUCUCCAGAUACGAAACUUUGACAUGCUACCUCUUAUUGUUUUCAUGAUCACACUUAGACAGGGAAAGGAGUCAAAUUUGUUUUUGGUUUGGGCCCAGGAAUAUGCAAAGUCAAUAUGGCAAGAAACAUGCUAGGUUUGUGGAUGGCUUUCCUUUCCAGCACCUCAGGGCUCCCCUGGUGGGCAUUCUUCUAGAAUAGUAAGUGGAACAAGCUACUCGAUCUCAUUGAAUGUGAAAACUCUCUGGUGUUUGACAGGUAGUACAUGGAUCUAAGGUAGCUAAAUGGCCUAUACAGUCCACUCUUCACAGCCCCAAACACUUAUGAAACCUCUAGGAACAACACUCAGACCUCCAUGUGGGCACUGACUAAACCUGUUAUCCAAAUUUUCAGGCCAAGGUCCUGUUAGAUCUAACUACCAAAGCUACCAAGAUGGCUACUUCCAGUAAAUAUGGUUAACUGCCACUGUGGGAUGCCUUCGCCAAAGGACCUUCUUAUCUUGGGAACAAAGGAACCCCACUCACACUGGCUCGAUAUCACUAAAUAUGGGAUGGGCUCCCCUUGAUCAGUAGAUACAUACAACGAUUGAUUUGCAGUAGAUUGGAUUAAAUUUGAUGCAGCACCCCUAAAGGCGCCCAUCGGCUCUGCAGGACUACUUUAUGGCUGUGGCUGUGGCCUGGGUGGGUAGCGAGAUGUAUUGUGAGACUUGCCUAGUUCCAAGGCAGAUGGGUUAAGAACAUUACCCAGCCUACCCCAUCAACACCAGUGGUCUCAGUAUAUUUCACUGGUGUGAUUAUUUAGCUUCUACCUUCAUUCCUUUCCUGGGGCUGGAAGAUGUCAUACAACAUAUAGAGACAUUAACCAACUACUGUAUACCAAGAGAACCCUAAACGGCUCAAGGGAAUUUCUCUUUUAUUUUUAUUUAUUUAUUUAUUUUUUUGGUACUGGGGAUCGAACUCGGGUCCUCAGCUUUCGAGGCAGGCGCCAGAACCACUGAGCUAAAUCCCUGGCCCAGUAAUUUCUCUUUUAAACACUGAAGUCAAAUUGAUGAGACAGGUUGUGUUACAGAACUAAAUGGCUCCAGAUAUCCUGACAACAACACAGGGCAGGGCCUGUGCAAUCAAAAGUGAGUGUUGUGUAUAUAUUUCUGACUUUGAGCAAUGUCUUCAGCCCUCCAAGAUCUUCAUCAGCAGGUUAGUGCCAAGUCAAUCCUUAAGGGUCCCUGGAUGGCUUCUUAUAGAGAAGUCAUUCCUGGCUCACACUGGUAGAAAGAAACAUUUGUUGUUGGGAUAAUUAUUCUCUUGGGACUGCUAUUUGGGCUGUGCAUACUCAGUUGCUUAAUAAAUAAGCUCUGUCUCUUCCAGACUCAUGGCUGUUUGUCCACUGGAAAGAAGGACACCUGGUCUAUCUAGGGCCUUGAGAGAGACCCUCUGGGGAGUGUUCCUGACUGCCAACUAUUGCACCAGCCCCAUCCAGCAGGAAGAAGCUAGAGUGGUCAUCGCCCAUUUUCCCUUCACAGCAGUGGGGGACACCUCUCCAGAGGAGGGAAUUUGUAGUAAGCAGGGCAGGCAGCUAGGGACAAGGUAGGCCCAAGAUGGCACUGGGAUGACCCAGGGAAGGUCAAGAAGAGACGAAGCCUGAGACUGAGGGCUGAGAAGAACCAGGCCCCAAGGUGGCCAGGGCUGAAUUUCUGUACGCCCCACCUCUAGUCCAACUGUUUGCAACCCCAUAGGUUGAUUUCAGCCUGGUGCAGAGUCCUCUGAGAUGUGGUCAUUUUCUUGUAUUAAAACCCAUAGACAGUCUCCAUGGCAACCCACCUUCAACCCCCCUUCCUGAUUUCAGGAGCUUUCUUCUAAUAAACUGUUUUCCUACCUGCCUCCUGGAAUCCGUUCUUCAGCAAUGUGAGGCAUGAACUUGGGUUUGUAUGUGUACCCCACAACACAGAUACAUGCCUGCAGUUCUGGAGCAGCUACCUCCUCGCUUAUCUAGCUGUCCCUUUACUCUAAGCAGCCACCGAGCCUAUGUGAUGUACCUGUCACAAUGCUGGCCACUGAGACAAAAGAAUCCUCUCCUUAAGCAUUCUGGGGGAACACAAGUGGAAACUGACUAAUGAGACACUGCACAAGGAAGGAGAAAGGGUGCCUUCCACAAAGUGCUGGUGUGGGGUGCGGUGGGAGCAUGUCCAGGCAUGCCCAGCUUGUUGCCAGCCCUGGCUGAGGGCAGUGGGAGGUAGGGACAGCUUGGUUCAGGAAGGAUGCUCCUGCAGGAAGGGUGUGUGGUAAAAAUUUUAAAGGGCUGGGAUGUAGCUCAGUGAGAAGGUCCUGGUUUCAAUCCCCAAUAUCAUAAUAAAUAAAAACAAUGGGUGAAAAAAAUUUCCCAAUACUCAUGAACACAUCCCUUCCCAUUGGGGAGAAGCUAGUAAUAAAAUAGAAUGAAAGAAAGGUGCUCGGUACACUACCAGGCACAUAGUCCAUGAUGAUGUUUGUCCAAGCUGGCUCUGGAUUCUUUUGCUUAUGAAUGUCCACUUAUGGGGGAAAAGAAAAA